AUUGAACGCUGGCGGCAGGCCUAACACAUGCAAGUCGAACGAGUGGCGGACGGGUGAGUAAUGUCUGGGAAACUGCCCGAUGGAGGGGGAUAACUACUGGAAACGGUAGCUAAUACCGCAUACCAUCGGAUGUGCCCAGAUGGGAUGAGAUUGUAGGUGAGGUAACGGCUCACCUAGGCGACGCACCCUAGCUGGUCUGAGAGGAUGACCAGACACAUUGGAAUCACGACACGGGCCAGACUCCGACGGGAGGCAGCAGGGGGGAAUAUGGCACAAUGGGCGAAAUCCUGAGGCAGCCAUGCCGCGUGUAUGAAGAAGGCCGUAGGUUUGUAAAGUACUUUGAGCGGGGAGGCGUUACCCGCAGAAGAAGAACCGGCUAACUCCGGUCCAGCAGCCGCGGUAAUAC
rnacentral:rRNA from 1 species